UGAACUGAGGAGUAAAACUAGGCCGAGACUUCACAGUGACCUUGCCAAAUUUAGAUGUUGUUUAGAGUGUAUGUAUUCUUAUAUAAAAAGCUGAAAAGCGAAUAAAGGAUGAUAGGGUACAAAGACCUUGGAAGUUACUCUUGCUUAAGGGUUGACAAGUCUAACCUUGAUCUUUUCCCUCAUCCCAGAAUGAAUUGUCAGCCUCGCUUUCCUUCAGCUUCAUCACUUCUUCUGGGUUGAGGCUGUCUCAUGAUUGUGAUUAUGGCUGUGUAAAAUCCUGAUUUGUGGAUCUUAGAACAACAGAAGGAAAUUAAAAUAUGUACAUACCAUAACUCAGUGUGGGUCCCAUAUGGAAGAAAAGCAAGGUUGUGCUACAUCUCAACCCACACUCUGUGCUACUUUAUCAAAGCAAGUUGAUAAAGGUUGACUCAUCCCAUCCUCUAAAUUCCAGUCAUCACCAUCAGGUAUAGGGAAAUGAUUGAACACUAUAGAUUUUGAUUUUCAAACUCCAUGUAGUUCAGAUACAUCUCAGAAAAGGCUUGACUCUCGACAACUUCAUUACCUUUUUAAACUAAUGUGAACAAACUGUAUUACAUCUGAUACUAUCUUCAGGCAAGUAUCCAUUUUAACAUGGCUGCUUCUUGCACAGAUUCUACAUUAAUGUUAAUGUUUAUGUUUGUAAGCAUCAUGUACACCAAAUUCAAGGAGAGUGGAUGGCAUAGCCACUCAGUCCAGAACUUGCAUUUUUGAGUACAUGUAUUAUUUAGCUUGCUUUGUAUUAUAUUAUUUGUUUUUGCAUUUUAUCUGCAUUUUUUGUUUUGGAAUUGUAUUGAACAAUUUGUAUUUUGUUAUGUUACCUUCUAUGUGUAUAUUUUAGGUUGUAGGCCUUUGGUAGAAUCUACUGUUUUUGGUUGUUUUACUGUAAAAUGCAAUGCAUAUUUGAUGUCUAUAUAUUAAU